CCGCCCUCUUCUGCCGCAGGAGCGCAGCGGCAGCCCCGCCGGGUUCCUGCUCCAUCGCCCCGGGCGGGGGCCGACGGCUCGGGCACACUCGGGUGGGCUCGGGCCUCGGCGGUGUUCGGCCGGACGCUCAGCUAGCGCGCCGCAGCCCACGCCCCGCCCCGCACCCCUCACCGGACCCAAGCCCCGCCUCUGUCCCGCCCCAAACUCCAGCCCAGCCUGGGACCUCAGGCCCCGCCCCGAACUCCAGCCUAACCACGCCCUCAGACUAUUCGCGGGGUCCAAGCCCCGCCCCUACUCUAAUCAGGUCCCUUGAACACGCCUGAGGCUUUAGGCCCCGCCCCUACUCUAACGGCCUAACCACGCCUCUGGCUUUAGGCCUCACCUCUGCCCCGCCCCCAUUCUAGCAGACCAGUGCAGGCCCCACCCUGCCUCUACACCAGCUCCAGCCACGCCCCUCCUGAACUGGCCUCACCAAGAUCUUCUACCCGCGCUCCCUCCGUUCUUCUGUGUAGCGCACGCAGGCUCCCAAUGCCCACUGGAUCCUCAACUUCGUCGGGUCCACGGCCCAUCACUCCCGCUCCUUACCAUUCCCACAGAUCUAGGCCCUUCCCACCUACCCCUCCAGCACAGAGCGCUCUAUCGGCCCGCCGCUCCACAGCUCCGAUUGCUGGAUUCUCUGCUGACCCUCCUCACCUCAGCACCUCUUGGUCCUUUCUAUCGUAGCACCGCCUUCUUUUGGGGGCCGCCUUUCUCCACAUCCCGCCCACAGGCAUGGCCCCCAACCCCGGAGCUCCGCCUCUUUUCUCUUGAAGCUGAGGAGUGCCUGGAUGGUGCGGGUCUUCCUGCCUGAACUGGGGUCCACCAUGAGGUUUGCGCUACCUCAGGAUCUAACCAGUCAGCAAAAGGAGGGGUGCCUGGAUGAUGCGGGUCUUCCUGGCUGAAGCGGAGUCCACAACGAGGUACAACAGUUUGGAGCUGGAAGGGUGAGGAACUCAAGAACUGAAUCAGCACUUAACAGAUUUUCCUCUGGCUUGCUCACCUUCUUUUCUUAUCUAGCCAAGUACCACCUGCCCGGGAUACUACCACCUACAGUGGGCUUAGAUCCUUCACAGCACCCCACCACCACUACCAAAAGCCCUCACAGACCUGUCUACAGGCUAAUCUGAUGGAGGAAGCUGCUCAAUUGAGAGUUCCUCUUCCCAGGUAAAGUGUAGGUGUGUGCUAAUUUGUGCAGCAGGGCUCUUUCACUGCGAUCACAAGGUUCUGGUCUCAUUCAAGCAGAGACAGGAGCAAGAAUGGGUGUGUAUGCCUGGGAGCUGCCACUGAGAUCCCCAAUCUACUCUAGUUCCUGCGCUCCUGCUCGCUGGCGCUUGCUCUCUCUCUGCCUCCCUCCCUCCCUUACUCCCUCCCUCGCUUUCUCCCUCUCUCCUUUACCUCUAAUCAAACUGGAGUGGGUUUGCUUUAUGCAUCAUGACUUCCUCCUGACAGAUCUUUUCAGAUUAUCACCUUGACUGGAACUCUCCCUCAGUAAUCUCGGGUUGCCUGCUUUUCCCCAUGUGCAUCCUGUCCUCUCUGUCUCCCUGACCCCCCUCCCCCCACUCCUACAGCCUCCUUAAUGUUCUGCGACUUCUGAUCUGAAAACUCUCAAGGCCCCCUGUCUUCUUAGGUAUCCCCAGACCCUCUGCCUUCCUCUCCAAGAGAUCCACAAUAUUGUCCCUGUUCUUUCCCUAUAUAUUUACAUCCUAGUUACUCUCAGCAGAGCCCUGGGCUCCUCCAGGCAUGUAGCACAGCAGCUGCCUGUCAAAUUGACUGCAUGUGACACUAAUAAAUAGAACGAUAUUCAUUGGAAAACACAUUUAAUUUCAAAGUAAACAAAGAUGUCUGUACAUUAAAGUAUUUAAUUAGUGAAACAAUUAUUAUCAGUGUAACAAGCUGAAAAAUACAGCAACUUGAUACAAGACUGAGGUAACAAAAUACUUCACCAAAAAUCUAAAGACUCCCAAGGAGGGAUGAUGUUCAGUGGUUAUUGCAGAUGAGACAAUUUACAAAUGUUAGAGAAAAGUCCUCACACAACUGCAUGCAGGGUCUGCUGGGAAAAAAAGACAGCUUAAGGGGGGGGGUGCAGCAGAUUGAACAAGAAACAAAGUAAGAUGUGAAAACUCAUUUUCAGUUUACUUGGAAGAACAUGUAAGAAAUUGAAAACUACUCUUUAUACAACAUUUUGAAUGCUAAGUGGGAAACCAUGCAUUUUGGCACAAAAUUUAUUAAAGAGUAUGCCUCACUAAUAAAUGAAUUACUAUUAUUUCAUUACUGAAUGGUCAAAGUCCUUCCAAAAUGGCAGAUGACCUAUCACCUUGCUGCGGUGAGUGGCAAUUUGGGGCUGUCCAUGGGACACACACUUGUGCAGCAGCAGCAGCUUACAAGAUGGACCAAAGUCCAAGUCCUCGGCUCCCAGGGACACGCAGCUCCCACUCAUACUGUAUAUGAAUUAACACUGAAGUUACAGAGUAAACGGGGUGGGGGGCUGUGCGUACGGCAAGCACUCAGACCCUACUCUCUCAUCCUGCCUUUGGCGUCUUCCCUGGAACCAUUCUUGAACACAGAUCAGAAUCUGGCUGCUUAGAGCCAGCCAGCCUCCCAUGUCGGGACUCCAGCAAGUCCUCAAUGCAACUUACUCUCCCAACAUUUCCAUUCAAUCUGGUCUUCCUGGAAGAACCAAUGCACACGAUUGUAUUCAGGAGUAGGGGAGAGAUAGGGUCUUGCCAAAGUUGGCUUGUGAGGUGGUAAUUAUUUGGUCAUUGACUGGUUAAGUUCUACAAAGGCCAAAAUUGGAUUUGUCUUGUUUCUAGCCUUUUUCAGUCUGGGUAGAGCCUGGGGUAUAAGAAGUAUUCACUUGACAUAUGAAUGUUUAUGCAAUAAAUACACUUUCAAAAGGGCUUUGUGCAGGGUGGGUUUUUUGUUUGUUUUAUAACAUGAAAUCACCCAACAUAUCAAUAUGACACAGGGACAGUUUAAGGGUCACACAGAAGAGAAGCUGUGCUUUUGGCAAUAUUCAAUAGAGGUUGCAAAGCUCUGGAUGCCACGUGCAGAUUAAAGCAGCCUUGGCUUAUAAAUGGCUUCCCAGUUUUACAGAUCAUUUUCCAUCUGAAAAUUGAUAUUAAAAAAUAAACAAAACAAACAAAAAACCACCACACCUUUCUUAGGCUCGAGAGGCAAGAGUAAACUGAUGGAAGAAACACUGGCCAUCUUGGUAAGGAGGAGAAAUACAGAGAGCCUGUUGGCGAGCCACGGAUGUGUCUACCUGCUCAGCAUCAAGUGCCCCAAGGCAUUCAGCCAGGGCAGGGGAAGGCCGGACUCUCCUGCUGGCUUGUGUAGGAGUGUUUCCCACCAAGUCCAGCAUCCACAAGGUAUCUUGCUUGCCAGCGGACACUUGGCUGACCUUGUAUUGCAAAACUUGUACACUGGAAAGGGGACAGAGGUUUACUCUUAUUGUGAGUGAGAAGGCUUUUCUUGGGACUUCCUAAUUCUACCAGCUGCCCAUCCCAGUUUCUAAACAGCAUUCUACAGCUCUCAGUUUGGGGUGCCAUGGUCUGUCUCCAACAGUUUCACAGUAUUUGUGUACGAUGGACAGUGGAGCAAAAGUGCAGAACAGCUUCCUUCAAGGCUAAGAGUCCACCAAAGGACCACUGACUCUGUCAUGUGACCUGGCCACCUCCCCUUGCAGCCUUGUGUGACAAGCUGUGCCGAGGAUAUCAGCACUGAGCUUGUAUGCUUGGCCUAAGGCCCUGCUUGGAGAGACAAAUAUCUUUUAACUCCAUAGACAGGGCUUUCCCACUACCUUCAAGGCUCACAAAAGUCCUACAAGGCUUUUCACUAAUAAAGUUCAAGCAGUUGUCUUCAAGAGUUCAUGGUAAGGAUGCUUGUGGGAGGGGAGUUUGGCUUCAUUUAGGAAGAUUAAACACUUUGAAAAUAAUUGUGAUUGUGCUCUUUCAGAUUAGGCCUGGAAGAAAACACUGUGUCUCAUAAGACAAAUCUGUAAAGGGCAGGAAGUUAUUUGAGUGGGAUGAAGUUCUGGGGUUUUGAUGUCUUGACACUGCACAUGCAAGAAUCCAAACAAUGAGCCCAAAAGCAGACACCUAAAGGAAACUAGCAGCUGAUGGUCUGGCUUUCUAGGAGUUAACAGGCAGGCAGGCAGGCAGGUUUGGAGUUGGAAUAGAUUAAAGUGGACCACGAAUGGUUCUGCUUGGAGGUGCCUCAAGUGUCUGACACCGUCAUCCAUCUUCUGGAUUCUAACUGGAGCAACGUUGAUAGAAUCCAGUGCAUACAGCUAGUGCACACAGCUGGACCACUGGUGGGGGUGGAUGUGCAAGGCAGCUGUGGUCAAGGUUUGAUGGCAUCAACUUUACCAUGUGGAGUUUCUCUUGGCAUGAAAAUAUCCAGGCUCUGCCCACAGGAAGGCUAGCUUCAGAGUACAACAAACGUACGGCCAUGACAACAACUAAUCACCCCAUCAAGUCAUCCAUGUUUUAGAGACAUGUCACCAUUUGUUUGUAAUACAGUGCUUUCUGGUGGUAAGUUCAUGGUUAUGGUGUUGUCUGCAGCUUCUCCAUUAUUGUUGGGAUGGUUUCAUGAUUGGGUUACUGUGUAAAACCAUGAUACCCACAGGGACCCAGACAUUCAGCCUUUUCCAGAAAACUGAGGGUUUUCUUCUCAGGGUUAGGGUACCCAGAUUCAAGGAGGAAGAGGAAGAGGAAGAAGGACAGAGAGCAUCAGUGAUGACAAAGGGCAAUACACUUGAAUUAAAAUGUGCAAAGUAAAAAUCACCUUAUUUAUGACAACAGGUGACAGAUAGGUCCUUGUUCAUGAAUGCAGAGGCUGGACAUCUCACUCCCUAGGGUUUGGCUCUCUUCUCACCUGGUCAUCAAGAACUGGGCCCUUGGACUUGGAUGAGAACUUGCUGGUGACUGCAUUUAGGGGCAAGACUGAGGGGGCUUAGGCCCCCUUGUCACUCAGCUCCCUGUG
rnacentral:lncRNA from 1 species